GAUGAAGAACGUAGCGAAAUGCGAUAAGUAAUGUGAAUUGCAGAAUUCAGUGAAUCAUCGAAUCUUUGAACGCACAUUGCGCCCAUUAGUAUUCUAGUGGGCAUGCUUGUUCGAGCGUCAUUUCAACCCUUAAGCCCCUGUUGCUUAGCGUUGGGAGCCUACAGCCUGCUGUAGUUCCUCAAAGUUAGUGGCGGAGUCAGUUCACACUCUAGACGUAGUAAAAUCUUUAUCUCGCCUAUAGAUGAGCUGGCGCCUUGCCGUAAAAAACCCCUAAUCUUUUACAAGGUUGACCUCGGAUCAGGUAGGAAUACCCGCUGAACUUAAGCAUAUCAAUAAGCGGAGGA
rnacentral:misc_RNA from 1 species